GUUGUUGGGUAGGGGAGCGUUCUGUAAGCCUGCGAAGGUGUGCUGUGAGGCAUGCUGGAGGUAUCAGAAGUGCGAAUGCUGACAUAAGUAACGAUAAAGCGGGUGAAAAGCCCGCUCGCCGGAAGACCAAGGGUUCCUGUCCAACGUUAAUCGGGGCAGGGUGAGUCGACCCCUAAGGCGAGGCCGAAAGGCGUAGUCGAUGGGAAACAGGUUAA
rnacentral:rRNA from 1 species